UGGUAUAGAGGAGAUGGACCCACUGGUUGCCCUCUAGGUUACAGAGAGCUGGUAGUCCCAUCCACCACACUACCAGGUGGGUGGUAUAGAGGAGAUGGACCCACUGGUUGCCCUCUAGGUUACAGAGAGCUGGUAGUCCCAUCCACCACACUACCAGGUGGGUGGUAUAGAGGAGAUAGACCCACUGGUUGCCCUCUAGGUUACAGAGAGCUACCAGGUGGGUGGUAUAGAGGAGACGGACCCACUGGUUGCC